CAUAGGUUAAUGAGGCGAACCGGGGGAACUGAAACAUCUAAGUACCCCGAGGAAAAGAAAUCAACCGAGAUUCCCCCAGUAGCGGCGAGCGAACGGGGAGGAGCCCAGAGCCUGAAUCAGUGUGUGUGUUAGUGGAAGCGUCUGGAAAGGCGCGCGAUACAGGGUGACAGCCCCGUACACAAAAAUGCACAUGCUGUGAGCUCGAUGAGUAGGGCGGGACACGUGGUAUCCUGUCUGAAUAUGGGGGGACCAUCCUCCAAGGCUAAAUACUCCUGACUGACCGAUAGUGAACCAGUACCGUGAGGGAAAGGCGAAAAGAACCCCGGCGAGGGGAGUGAAAAAGAACCUGAAACCGUGUACGUACAAGCAGUGGGAGCCCUGAUUUAUCAGGGUGACUGCGUACCUUUUGUAUAAUGGGUCAGCGACUUAUAUUCUGUAGCAAGGUUAACCGAAUAGGGGAGCCGAAGGGAAACCGAGUCUUAACUGGGCGUUAAGUUGCAGGGUAUAGACCCGAAACCCGGUGAUCUAGCCAUGGGCAGGUUGAAGGUUGGGUAACACUAACUGGAGGACCGAACCGACUAAUGUUGAAAAAUUAGCGGAUGACUUGUGGCUGGGGGUGAAAGGCCAAUCAAACCGGGAGAUAGCUGGUUCUCCCCGAAAGCUAUUUAGGUAGCGCCUCGUGAAUUCAUCUCCGGGGGUAGAGCACUGUUUCGGCAAGGGGGUCAUCCCGACUUACCAACCCGAUGCAAACUGCGAAUACCGGAGAAUGUUAUCACGGGAGACACACGGCGGGUGCUAACGUCCGUCGUGAAGAGGGAAACAACCCAGACCGCCAGCUAAGGUCCCAAAGUCAUGGUUAAGUGGGAAACGAUGUGGGAAGGCCCAGACAGCCAGGAUGUUGGCUUAGAAGCAGCCAUCAUUUAAAGAAAGCGUAAUAGCUCACUGGUCGAGUCGGCCUGCGCGGAAGAUGUAACGGGGCUAAACCAUG
rnacentral:rRNA from 1 species